rnacentral:rRNA from 1 species
CCUACGGGAGGCAGCAGUGAGGAAUAUUGGUCAAUGGGCGUAAGCCUGAACCAGCCAAGUCGCGUGAGGGAUGAAGGUUCUAUGGAUCGUAAACCUCUUUUAUAAGGGCAUAAAGUGUGGGACGUGUCCUAUUUUGUAUGUACCUUAUGAAUAAGGUUCGGCUAACUCCGUGCCAGCAGCCGCGGUAAUACGGAGGGUCCGAGCGUUAUCCGGAUUUAUUGGGUUUAACGGGUGCGUAGGCGGCCUUGUAAGACAGCGGUGAAAGUCUGUGGCUCAACCAUAGAAUGGCCGAUGGAACUGGGGGGCUUGAGUGUGUUUGAGGCGGGCGGAAUGCGGGGUGUAGCAGUGAAAUGCGUAGAUAUCACGCAGAACCCCGAUUGCGAAGGCAGCCUGCCAAGCCAUGACUGACGCUGAUGCACGAAAGCGUGGGGAGCAAACAGGAUUAGAUACCCGGGUAGUC